rnacentral:rRNA from 1 species
GCAAGUAGGACGCACAGUCUAUACCGUAGCUUGCUACACCAUAGGCUGUGAGUUGCGAACGGGUGAGUAACGCGUAGGUAACCUGCCUAUUAGAGGGGGAUAACUAUUGGAAACGAUAGCUAAUACCGCAUAACAGUAUGUAACACAUGUUAGAUGCUUGAAAGAUGCAAUUGCAUCGCUAGUAGAUGGACCUGCGUUGUAUUAGCUAGUAGGUAGGGUAAUGGCCUACCUAGGCAACGAUACAUAGCCGACCUGAGAGGGUGAUCGGCCAUACUGGGACUGAGACACGGCCCAGACUCCUACGGGAGGCAGCAGUAGGGAAUCUUCGGCAAUGGGGGGAACCCUGACCGAGCAGCGCCGCGUGAGUGAAGAAGGUUUUCGGAUCGUAAAGCUCUGUUGUUAAGGAAGAACGAGUGUGAGAAUGGAAAGUUCAUACUGUGACGGUACUUAACCAGAAAGGGACGGCUAACUACGUGCCAGCAGCCGCGGUAAUACGUAGGUCCCGAGCGUUGUCCGGAUUUAUUGGGCGUAAAGCGAGCGCAGGCGGUUAGAAAAGUCUGAAGUGAAAGGC